rnacentral:rRNA from 1 species
GAUGAACGCUGGCGGCGUGCUUAACACAUGCAAGUCGAACGAAGCAUUUAGGACAGAUUACUUCGGUUUGAAGUUCUUUAUGACUGAGUGGCGGACGGGUGAGUAACGCGUGGGUAACCUGCCUUGUACUGGGGGAUAGCAGCUGGAAACGGCUGGUAAUACCGCAUAAGCGCACAAUGUUGCAUGACAUGGUGUGAAAAACUCCGGUGGUAUAAGAUGGACCCGCGUCUGAUUAGCUAGUUGGUGAGAUAACAGCCCACCAAGGCGACGAUCAGUAGCCGACCUGAGAGGGUGACCGGCCACAUUGGGACUGAGACACGGCCCAGACUCCUACGGGAGGCAGCAGUGGGGAAUAUUGCACAGUGGAGGAAACUCUGAUGCAGCGACGCCGCGUGAGUGAAGAAGUAAUUCGUUAUGUAAAGCUCUAUCAGCAGGGAAGAUAGUGACGGUACCUGACUAAGAAGCUCCGGCUAAAUACGUG